CGGCGGACGGGUGAGUAACGCGUGGGCAACCUGCCUCAUACAGGGGGAUAACAGUUAGAAAUGACUGCUAAUACCGCAUAAGCGCACAGGACCGCAUGGUGUAGUGUGAAAAACUCCGGUGGUAUGAGAUGGACCCGCGUCUGAUUAGGUAGUUGGUGGGGUAAAGGCCUACCAAGCCGACGAUCAGUAGCCGACCUGAGAGGGUGACCGGCCACAUUGGGACUGAGACACGGCCCAAACUCCUACGGGAGGCAGCAUG
rnacentral:rRNA from 1 species